rnacentral:rRNA from 1 species
UACGGAGGAUGCGAGCGUUAUCCGGAUUUAUUGGGUUUAAAGGGUUCGUAGGCGGCCAAUUAAGUCAGCGGUGAAAUACCGGCGCUCAACGCCGGGGCUGCCGUUGAUACUGACUGGCUCGAUUCUGGGCGACGGUGGCGGAAUGUGACAAGUAGCGGUGAAAUGCAUAGAUAUGUCACAGAACACCGAUAGCGAAGGCAGCUGCCGAGCCAAGGAAUGACGCUGAGGAACGAAAGCGUGGGGAUCAAACAGG